AUGUUUUACCACCUGAGAGACCGGGAGAUGCUCCGGAAGAGAAAGGCGGAAGCCAAGGAGAAGGAUUCAAUUCAGUGGGCUCUAGGGGAUUAUGAGAAAAGCAAGCGUCAGAAGAAAAGCCAAGGUGCCAGGAGGGGAAGGAAGCGUGGGCAUGUAAUGAAGCCUGCACCACAGCAAAGGCCUCAGUCCCUGAAGACAGAGGAAGAUGAGACGAUGUCUUCCGUGAUUACGCAGCAAGCUGAGUCUUCCCAGAUAGAUGCGCAGGACCUGUUUUCUGGUGUGCAGCUGGCAGAUCUGGAAGGGAUAUUGGCCUCUGAGAGCCAGAGUCCCCUGGGUGAGCCAUGGAAAGUUGCCAUCCCCAUGGGAUCCUGGGGGCUGCAGGUUGGGGCUGUGGGAACAGAUCCAUCUCUCUGAAUCAUGGGGAGGGGUUGAAAGCUCACUGCUGUGAGUAGAAUCACUGGCACCCUGGUCUGUGGCCCCUAGUCCCAUAUAGAGCUUCUUGUCCUAAGGAUUUCUGCAGCCUUUCCUGAAGGGGGAAGAUGUAGCUGUGUCCUGAUGCACCUCCCCCAGGAGAACAGGUCAGCAAGGGAAACACUAUAUACAACAGCAAAAGUUGGUUCACAGAUAAGUGUCUGCCUCAGGUCCUCUUCUGCCUGAAACUAAAGAAAGUGACCAGAGGGCCACAGAUGGCCAGAAGGACAGCAGUUAAUUGCCCAUGAUGGUGAGUCACCAAUGCUAACCACUCCUCUGCCAAGAGCCAGACCAGGGCAGAGGUGCUCUGAAAAGGAUAGGCAACCUCCUGAGCUCAGAUCCCAGAGGUCAGGGAGUGCCAGCCACUGUCUGCCCACAGCCCACUAGUCCCAGGGUGGUGGGGAGGGGAAGGGGCAGCUGGAGGCACAAUGCAUGCAGGAUUUAGGUUGGAUGUUAGGGGGAAGUUCUUCACUAGGAGAGUGGUGAGGCCCUGGAACAGGCUGCCCAGGGAGGUUGUGGAUGCCCCGUCCUUGGAGGUGUUCAAGGCCACGUUGGACGGGGUCCUGGGCAACCUGAUCUAGUAAAUGUGUAUGUUUGGUGGCCCUGCCAGGCAGGGGGGUUGGAACUACAUGAUCCUUGAGGUGCCUUCCAACCCAGGUCAUUCUGUGAUUCUGUGAUUCUGUGCCACCACUGCCCUGCACCAGGGCCAGCCUCCAGUCUCAAGACUCUGAAAUGGCAAGAAUCAAGACAGCACUUAUUUGUCUUCUGCCAUUAAGUCCAUUAAACCCCACAACCCAGGGGACCAGCACAUCCCCUGGAAGCCAUGAGGGCCAGCAGGAGAUGCUUGUCAUCACAGGCACCCCAUGGCCCAGCCAGCAGAGCCCCUGGCAGCACUGACCUCUCUCUCUGGUGUCCUUUGCAGGUGAAGAGGAUAUGCUGAAACUGGCGGAUGAGUUAGAGGACGUACUGAGUUCUUCACUGGAAAAUAAUGGAUCAGAAAUUGACACAAACUCAUCAAGCCCGUUUUAAAGUUUUAUGUAACAACUAACAUAGAAUCAUAGAAUUACCCAGGUUGGAAAAGACCUUGAAGAUCAUCAAGUCCAACCACAGCCUAACCAUAGUACCCUAACUCUAACAACCCUACACUAAAUCAUAUCCCUGAGCACCACAUCCAAAUGGCUCUUAAACACAUCCAGGGAUGGCGAUUCAACCACCUCCCUGGGGAGCCUAUUCCAGCACUUAACAACCCUUUCUGUAAAGAAGUUCUUCCUAAUAUCCAACCCAAACUUACCUUGGUGCAACUUGAGGCCAUUUCCCCUCAUCCUGUCACUUGUGUAUAUUGUGUCACAUAUGUAUAUUCUUCUAGAUUUAAGACUAAGAAAUACUGAAAAGUCUUUUUAAGACACUUGAAGCUGCUCUUUCCUCAGGAACAAUAAAAAUCUCUCUGCAAUGCUUCCUGUGUUGCUU
ensembl:lncRNA